rnacentral:rRNA from 1 species
GACGAACGCUGGCGGCGUGCCUAAUACAUGCAAGUCGAGCGGACGGAUGGGAGCUUGCUCCCAGACCGUCAGCGGCGGACGGGUGAGUAACACGUGGGCAACCUGCCUGUAAGACUGGGAUAACUCCGGGAAACCGGGGCUAAUACCGGAUAACUCUUUCCCUCACAUGAGGGAAAGCUGAAAGAUGGCAUCUCGCUAUCACUUACAGAUGGGCCCGCGGCGCAUUAGCUAGUUGGUGAGGUAACGGCUCACCAAGGCGACGAUGCGUAGCCGACCUGAGAGGGUGAUCGGCCACACUGGGACUGAGACACGGCCCAGACUCCUACGGGAGGCAGCAGUAGGGAAUCUUCCGCAAUGGAGGAAAGGCUGACGGAGCAACGCCGCGUGAGUGAUGAAGGUUUUCGGAUCGUAAAACUCUGUUGUCAGGGAAGAACAAGUACCGGAGUAACUGCCGGUAUCUUGACGGUACCUGAACAGAAAGCCACGGCUAACUACGUG